UACGUAGGGUGCGAGCGUUGUCCGGAAUUACUGGGCGUAAAGAGCUCGUAGGUGGUUUGUCGCGUUGUCCGUGAAAACUCACAACUCAAUUGUGGGCGUGCGGGCGAUACGGGCAGACUGGAGUACUGCAGGGGGAGACUGGAAUUCCUGGUGUAGCGGUGAAAUGCGCAGAUAUCAGGAGGAACACCGAUGGCGAAGGCAGGUCUCUGGGCAUUAACUGACGCUGAGGAGCGAAAGCAUGGGGAGCGAACAGG
rnacentral:rRNA from 1 species